rnacentral:lncRNA from 1 species
GAAUUAUGUGGUUUACAAGACUUGACUUCCAAACCUGGCGACUGACACAGCAAGAGAGCACAAAAACUCAAAUGCAAACCCCAAAUACCUUUCAAAUGCAAACCAUGGCUGCAGAAUCUGGCUUUAACAUUGCAGCAAAGCCAAGGAGAGACUCACCUCUACAAAAUCAGAAGGUCCAGCUGAUUUCACCAGGCUCCAUAUGGGCAGCCACUGAGCCACAUACCUUCAGUCCUGGAAGGAUUCUCUCCCAGACAUGCAGAAAAAGCAGAGUAAACGAAGAAGCAAGAGAUCAUCGUUUCUGGAGGAGAAACAGCAUGAAACCAAUCUGGCUGCAACAUGUAUGUUUGUAA